rnacentral:rRNA from 1 species
AUUGAACGCUGGCGGCAGGCCUAACACAUGCAAGUCGAACGGUAACAGGAAACAGCUUGCUGCUUCGCUGACGAGUGGCGGACGGGUGAGUAAUGUCUGGGAAACUGCCCGAUGGAGGGGGAUAACUACUGGAAACGGUAGCUAAUACCGCAUAACGUCGCAAGACCAAAGAGGGGGACCUUCGGGCCUCUUGCCAUCGGAUGUGCCCAGAUGGGAUUAGCUAGUAGGUGGGGUAACGGCUCACCUAGGCGACGAUCCCUAGCUGGUCUGAGAGGAUGACCAGCCACACUGGAACUGAGACACGGUCCAGACUCCUACGGGAGGCAGCAGUGGGGAAUAUUGCACAAUGGGCGCAAGCCUGAUGCAGCCAUGCCGCGUGUAUGAAGAAGGCCUUCGGGUUGUAAAGUACUUUCAGCGGGGAUGAAGGGAGUAAAGUUAAUACCUUUGCUCAUUGACGUUACCCGCAGAAGAAGCACCGGCUAACUCCGUG